ACUUAAAUAGCUUAAAUAUUAGAGCAUGACGUUGAAGGUGUUAAGGUGGUAAAAACUAUCUUUAAGUA
rnacentral:tRNA from 1 species